CCUACGGGGUGCAGCAGUGAGGAAUAUUGGUCAAUGGACGCGAGUCUGAACCAGCCAAGUCGCGUGAAGGAUGACUGCUCUAUGGGUUGUAAACUUCUUUUAUAAAGGAAUAAAACGUGGCACGUGUGCCUUUUUGUAUGUACUUUAUGAAUAAGGAUCGGCUAACUCCGUGCCAGCAGCCGCGGUAAUACGGAGGAUCCGAGCGUUAUCCGGGUUUAUUGGGUUUAAAGGGAGCGUAGGUGGGUUUUUAAGUCAGUUGUGAAAGUGUGCGGCUCAACCGUAAAAUUGCAGUUGAUACUGGCAGUCUUGAGUAUAGUUGAGGUAGGCGGAAUGCGUGGUGUAGCGGUGAAAUGCUUAGAUAUCACGCAGAACCCCGAUUGCGAAGGCAGCAUACUA
rnacentral:rRNA from 1 species